CGAAGCGUGAUGACGUCAUGGCGCACGCGCGUCUCUCAUGGGGAGAAAAGGGAGGCCUGGCGGAGGAGGCGGCGCAGCAUCCGAAGUUAGAGCGGGAAACAUUGUUUGACAUUAUUCGCCGUCCCUUUUCCUUCCCCGACCAAAGUGAGGUACACCUCAGCAAGCGAGAGUCCAAAAGUAGCAGGCUAAAACCCGGAAUCUCAAUCAGUGGCAGAUGCCGGAUGAGAGACUCUCCCCUGGGCACACAGAAGACUGGACGGCUUGACAGGCUCUGAACAGACUGCGCUCUGGCACCACAAGAUGCAGAGCCAACCUUAGGAAAUGGGGCUACAAAGUGAAGACCACGACAUGCGAGUGUGGAGAUGAGCAAACCACAGAUCACCUAUUACAAUGCCACAUGCACAAUGAAGGACCUUCUUACAGCAACAUCAGAGGCACUCCAAGUAGCCAGCUACUGGUCAAAGGACAUUUAGUAUAAUGCCAAGUUGUUGUUGUUUUAAGCUUUGGGUUUUCAAAUAUAUUACAACUUGUACCCUCGGUUCGCUUCUGACAUGAUAAAUAAAUAAAUGGCAGACAUCCUAAGAGGUUGAGGGGUCUCUUGGAAACUAUGUAAGUGAAACUAUGUAAGUGAGAUAUUCCACCUGUGAAAUAUCCAGGGUAGGGGAAAGAAUUCUUGUUUGCUUGAGGUACAUGUCAAUGUUGCAAUUUGCCACCUUGAUUAGCAUUUUAAUGGACCUGACAUAGAUGUGAGCAAAAUGUCAGGAGAGGAUGCUUCUGGAACAUGGCCAUACAGCCCAGAAAACUCACAGCAACCCAGUGAUUUUGGCCAUGAAAGCCUUCGACAACACAGUAGCAGCCAUAGCAGACAUAGUGGAAGUGACCUUGCCAAAAUGUCAUAGCCAGCAGGCAAAGCCUAUGGCAUGGGACGGGAAGGGACGGGAUUUGACUUGGUUUGCAGGUGGAAACUGGAAACUGAGGUGCCCACCACUGUUAAUCUAAUCCAGUGGUUCUCAACCCGUGGGUCUCCAGAUGUUUUAGCCUUCAACUCCCAAAAAUCCUGACAAAUGGUAAACUGUCUGGGAUUUCUGGGACUUGUAGGUCAAAUCACUGGGGAUCCACAGGUUAAAAUUCACUGAUCUAAUCCAAACCCUGCCAAAUAAACCAUGGAAUAGGAGCAAAAAGAAGAUGUGUCACUGUUAGACUUUAUAUGAACAAGACUCUUUCCGAUGAACAAGUUAAAGCUCAAUUAGUGCAAAAUCUACAGACUCCAUAUCCAGGAUAUGUAUUUCCUGUGGAUAAAAAUAGGCAUCUAAGAUUUCAACCCAAAUAGGCAUCUAAGAUUUCAACCCAAACGGAUUCCCCUGGUUAACCUACUCAUUUCAUGUACUGUACAAGGUGCACUCUGUAAGUACAAUGUGGUGUUUGGAGGAGAAGUUGGGGCGAAAGGUGCUCAUCAGAAGCUUGAUACAUUGGUUGCUAAACCAUUGGCGCAAUGGAAAAAUGCAAUACAAGUCUUCAAUAGACACCAAAAAACAAAGUACCAUCCGAACAACUUGUGCUUGACUGAAAACGUCUUGCUAAUUCACUGUAGAAAAUGUUUGAUGAUAAAGGAAAUAAGAAGAAAACAAGAAAAUAGAAAGAAACUUCUGCCAGUUGUGAAAAUUAUUGUCCUUUAUGGCCGAUAAGAACUGGCUUGAAGAGGGAGCAAUGACUUGGGACCUAUUACCUGUGAAGAACCUUUGCACAAUGGUGGUAAUUUCAGGGUCUUGUUAAGAUAUCAUGCCAGAUCAGCAGGCACUGGCCUCAAAAGUCGUUUUGGGGGGAAAGGUUUCAACCCCUCCUGAAUGUUUUUUCUGGCUACGGGCCUGUUCAUAGUUGUGUACAUAUGAGGCCUGCCUCACAAUGUCUCCGUGGCAACACGACUUUCUUGGUGGCAUCUUCCUUCUUUCCUUCCUCUUUUGCCCCCCCUCGCCCAGUGACAUCACAGAGGGUAAUUCCACCUAACAAUAGCCAAUCCACCACCUUAUCACAUUGAGAAUUUUCCCAGUCGUAGUAAUAUUGAAGACCCCCCAACUCCACCCCUAAUAAAAAGAACACCUAAAUUGUAUCCCGUGAUUUGUAGUUUUUCUAAGGAUGGAAGGACUGCUGCUGGUCCUUCUCAACAUUUGCGUAAAAAUGUGUGUUAAAUGCGUAAAAACAGCAGUUCUUCAGAAGUGUCUUUCAGCGCCCAAAAAUAUAUAUAUACAUAAAACCACUUGUGUCAUAUGAUGCACUCAAGAGACAAAACAAAGUAGACUUUGGUAAAAAUAACAUAUUUGGUUUACUCAUGACCUUCAUGUGUUCAGCAUACACAGGUACACAACGUAUCAGUCAGUUACAGAUAUGCUUGAGAUCGUUUCUGUGCCAGAACAUCUCUUUUACAAUAAGUGUAGUGUUUGCAAGUCUGUGAUCUGAGCAGUCCCAAAGUCUAAAGAAGUCUGAUGGAGUCUGUGCUUGUCUCAGAGCGGAUCACAUGGUCUACACCUUCCACAGCUGCUCAGUAAAAACAUAGAGCAAGGAAAGAAAGCUACAUUUCAGAACUUACAAUAAGUAAGCAACAGGAUUAUAGAUUUAAAAAAAUACUAGAGGAAGCUCGAAAAAGGCUGUAAUUUCCAACACAACAGAGCUCCUGAACUGGCAACAUGCAUUUUUCUUGGGCUGGUCCGCAGCCAGCUGAUCCUCUCCCCCUCCCAGCCAAGAAGCUGGCCAGAUGGCCACAAAAUAAUCCAAGCAUCUCCAUUUCCCAAGCCCGUUACUCUGUAUCCCCCCUUCCCUCGUUACUAGGCAUCUCUUCCCAUUACUAUUAUUAUUUUUAUUAUUUUUCUCUUCUGUAAACAUGUGCGUGAAAGGAUGAACAAAAUAUAACAAAACAUCACUGAUUGACCCCCACCCCCACCCCCCAAGCUGCUGCUCAGCAGUGGUGAGACUCCCACAUUUCACCCCUUUCCUUCUUCAUAUGUGGUUCCCACCAAGCACCACACAACGUUUAUUCUUUAUUUUUUAUCUAUUUCUUUAUUUUUAUUAUCAUUAUUAAAUGAAAGCAAAUAUACAUGAACCUGGAAACUAGGAACUCCAGUAACCUCUCUCCUGAGCAAUUUCCAGAUAUCAUAUCCACACUCCAGAUGACAGCCAGAGAUGGGCCAUAAUCUGGAUCUCAGGAGGAAACCACCCGUUCAUGGCCCUGGAACUUACUUUUGGAGAUCUUGGACAGUCACGGGACAAAAUUCUUGACCGAAACUGUGAUUGCAAUCCCAUCUGCAAAUCUACAUUUCAAGACUCUGUCUUUGGACAUGAAAACCCAUUUGUGACACCAACCCUCUAUUGUGUCAUCCGGCAAGACCAAGUAUUUAUAUAAUCCAGUCAGAUCGGCUUUGGACUUUUCCUUUGUCCACUGCAUUCCUGGACUGCACACUCUGCUGGCAUGGUCUCCAGAGCUCCCUCCCUCCCUCAGACCGCCUCCACCAGCUGAUUGGAGGUUUCCGGCCCAGCUGGGAGGAGAUCCUCAUCUACAUCACCAGUGCCUCUGCCAAUCAGGGCAACUGCUGGCAUAGACACGCCUUCCAACCAAUCAGAAGCCAGGGAAAGCACAGACCAGCAUCACCAAGCUGGCCAAUCAAGGAGGAGGGAAGGAGAUUUCGAAAUGGGACAAUAUCAGUGAAUGUAAAUGUAUGUGUAUAAAGAUGUCUGCUUGUGAAUACAUUUUUACACUUGUACCCUUCAAGCACCUGUCCUGUACAAGUGUCCCUUUUGCGCAAAUUGAAUAAAGUAUCUGUCAUUUGCCUUCA